GGAAUGCACGCGCGCCCUCCUCACUAACGGUCCCACUGGUCUUCGCCAACUGCAAAGCUCAGGCAAGUGCAGACUCCUCUGCCUCCUCCAGCCCAGAGCAAGCUCGGGAAGGUCCUAAACUUGCCUAAAUUCCCAGGGGCAGGUGUGAGGUAAUGCACUUGGCCACAGGGUAACACAGUGGACCCAUGCAGAGCCAAGAAAGCCGCACAGGGACAGGCUGGUGAUGUUGAAAGCUCAUAGAGACCAGCGUUUCCCACCAGAACUAGAUGUGAAGACCCUUUCAUUGAAAAACUCCAUGUUCUUUGGCUUCGGGAAAGAGCAAAACCAAGCUGCAACUGAUCUGGAAGCUUCCUUCCUGCUGGCUAGCUUCCCUGAUGCUGGACUGUGCUUUGCAGGUUCUGGGAGAGAAAGACAGGCUUAAGUCAGUUCUGGACCCUACAUGCUGCAUGACUGACCUGCCGAGCAGUAUGCUACUAGGGUGAUGGUCUUAUCACCAUUAAGGGAACAGCCAGCUGCUUUUGUCUAGAUCUGAGGUCAGCUCCUCUUGGAAUUCACACCAAGUGCUAGAAAGCUGCUUGGCGGCCCUUGGCUGGGAGCCACUAGGUCCUGCUGUGGAAGGUUCUACUGUUUUGCUAAAUGACCGUGCUAGCCAGCAAAUUGCCUUCUGAGCAGUUCUGUCUAUGCCUACGUAUUAGUGGUGCCCUCAGUUUUGGUCACACAGACAUUUUCAGUUGGCGGCAGUUACUGCAGUGGAGACUCAGGGUCAAAGUGCUAAGGUUUGGUGACUGCUGAAGACCCAGCACUAAAGAGGACAUCAGUAUCAUUCCACGGGCCAGGG
rnacentral:lncRNA from 1 species